rnacentral:rRNA from 1 species
UACGAAGGGGGCUAGCGUUGUUCGGAAUUACUGGGCGUAAAGGGCGCGUAGGCGGCGUGUCAAGUCAGGCGUGAAAGCCCCGGGCUCAACCUGGGAACCGCGCUUGAGACUGGCAUGCUCGAGUUCGGGAGAGGUGAGUGGAAUUCCCAGUGUAGCGGUGAAAUGCGUAGAUAUUGGGAGGAACACCAGUGGCGAAGGCGGCUCACUGGGCCGGUACUGACGCUCAUGCACGAAAGCGUGGGGAGCAAACAGG